rnacentral:tRNA from 7 species
GGGGCGCUGGCGCAACGGUAGCGCGUCAGAUUCCAGUUCUUCUGGAGAUUCCUGAAGGUUAUCCGUUCGAAUCGGGUGUGCCUCA